GGUAAGAUGGCUGAGAUUUAAGCGGUAAAUUGUAAAUUUACAGACGAAUAGUUUUCUUUUACCA
rnacentral:tRNA from 1 species